GACAUUCCGGUGGCCACCUUUCGGCUCUGAAAAGUAUCUUAAUACUACACUUAGCUUGCACAAGCUAAGUAACCCUGCUGCUGGUGCUAAAAGCUUCUAUAGACUUAUGGACUGUGGACUUAUGGCCUCGAAAAACUACGGCACUACUAUAACCCAACCCACCAAAAUCGAUCGAGGUGUGUGGCUCUCCUUCCCCGUGCAUCGCUUAGCCGUCCGUGCUGUGGAAUGUGCUGCAAUGGGUUUGAAUGCAACAUUUUCGUUCCGUUCCGUUCCGAACACCACACGCUCACGAACCCGGCGACUUCACAGUAGCUUUUGAUCUCUUUGAAAAUUUCACCAAGAGCGCCAGCCAGCACCACCAAUUCGAGUGCCGGCGAUGGAGAAAAAUCUCGAGCACGUAGUCUGCCGGGGGUGGGGUUUGGAAAAACCCGUGAAAAGGCACGAAAGUUCCCAACAUCAUAUUCCCCCCCAUCCCGAAAACUCGAAUGUUCCUUUUUGUCUUCCUUUUCUGCCGUCCGGCAACCAUGCAACACACUCAAUGCUGUGCACCACCCCUAGUGUGUUGCAGCAGUGUUCGUGCCUGUGGUUUUGGAUAUGUCCCUAGGGUGGUGGUAACCUCUGUAGCAUCGAUCGGAAAUCGAUCGGAACUAGGAGGGCGGGGAAGCGAUGGGAUACAAAAAGCGGAACCGAUUGAACUAUGAAGCUCUAAAUACACGAACCGUCGAAGCUCCCGAGCUCUCACAGCGCGGUGUAGAGGGUCUGCUCACGUAGAAAACGUUCGCCAGAUGGGUGUUUAAUUUGCUGUUUUGGAGGGCAUCCUGGGAACCGUGCCGCCGCCUCCCCCAGAGUGGUGGUGGUAGUGGUGUGACGCUCAUAAAUUUGCUAGUAAAAUUCAGCGCUUUUCCCCGCUGGCUGCGGAUGUAGAUUACGCUUACGAAAGCCAGGCGAGGGUUACGACCAAACAUACUGCAUCUUGGUUUCAUAAAAUGGCCUUCUGGGUGCAGCGUUUCUUAAACUGCUCAUUCCAUUGUUGGUCCUUGUGCAUAUUGGGCGCUAGGGAAUACAAUCCAUACACACACACACACACGCGCGCGCGCGGCUUCUUUAAAUAUCCACAACGGUGGCCACAUCGGAGUAAACAAUACUCUCUAGCGGUGGCGUGAACGGGAGGAGCCUGUGAAGGGUACCACCGUUUGCGGUUUCUAAUUAUGCUUCAAAUGAGCGGCUUUCCAACACCUAGCUGCUAUAUUUGUACGUGUCUGUAUGUGUGUGUGUGUGGUGUAGUGUACGGGGAAAUGUACCGGAAAUUGAACUGCUGUUUUCCCGUGCAGCACGCGCAGCGAGGAAACCUUUGGGGGCACACUAAUAAAUGGUUUAUUUGCAGUUUCGACACCACAACCACUGUAUGUGUGGAUGGUGGAGGGUGAAUAAUGAAGUAUGAAGUUCACAGGUUACGGUUCCGCUGGGUUAAAAAAACACCCUCUAGCUACCUUUUCCUUUCUCGCGCACGGAAUGGUGUCUCGCGGAAAUAAAGGUUUAUUAUUAGCGACAUCUAGUGGCUUCUCGCGCACAUCGUGCAGUUGUUGUUGUUGUUGGUGGUGCUGGUAGUUCCAAGCUCAAUCCCGGAAAUGGCACGAAUAAUGAUGAGCGUGGAGAGAGCUGGGCUGGGAUGGGAUGCUGCUAAUUGAAUGAAACCCCUCCCAUCAUCCUUGCUGCUGCUGCUGCUGCUGCUCUUUCCUUGUUUUCCGCCUCCUACAAAGUGGUACAAUAAACACAAGGCCGUUCGAUAAGGACUAGGGGGGAUACCUUGCUAGACGUGCCCUUUGUUGUCGUAGUUGUGGAAAAUUUGUGGCCCCAUAAUGAAAGGAGGCUGCGCUCGCUCCUUCCUCGCGAAGCAUCGAUUAUCGCGACCGGGGAAGCCCGCUUGCAAGUAAUCGUCUUGCCGGCAAAGCAAACCAUCUUGGUGGUACUAGGUAGUACACACAAUCGCCUCCAUCAUCGCCUCCUUUGUUGUUAUUGGUUGGUUGGUGCCCGGGUGGCUACAACGACUUGCUUACGGGCCUGGGUCUGUAGCAAUUCGUCGCCAUCCACAACCGUCCAUCAUUUACCGUUAAGUGUUGUGAUUUGUGCCCCUGUCGGUGGGAAAUUGUUUUUGGCCAAAUGGGAGAGGAAAGGAGCGCCAUCGGCCUUUGGGUUGUGUUGGUGAAGGGCUUUCCACGAUUGUAAGGGUGAGGGUGCGAUUGAUUAAACUGAUCUCACCUUCUUCUCACCUGCCUCGAUGCCGCGAGCGCUAAAGCAACGUAAUUUAAAUAUGUAAUUCACUCGAAAGAGAAAGGGGCCAGCUUAUGGUGUUGAGAUGAGAUAAGUUCGAUUACAUAAUGAAUGAAUGCAAAUUUGUACAGUUUACGGUACGUUUCAAGAUAAUUUAAUUGUUAAAGUAGUUUAAAGUCGAUAGGAAGACUCAAAAAAGGCUUUUACAAGUUAGUAAUCAUUGCUCGUAAUUGCACUCUACCUUAAAAGUCUGCCAAUGGUAUGCCGAUUGCCUAGAUGCAGGGGCAUGAAUAGAACAAGUUGCAUGGUAGCAAUUUUAGUGCACAACUAAAUGCUUACGAUCGCAAAAUAAUUUAACUUGAUGAUGAGCUCACAGAGCAUUCAAACUGCGGUUCUUGUUUUAGUGAUAUUUGCGCGAAAGCUCAUAACAUCCACGUUAGCUAUACGAACCGAAAAGGAAUUCAUAUGUGUCUGUUUGUGUGUGUGCUUGUGUGCAUUACUGUCUCUCAUCCAUAUCGAAAGUUAUGUCCUCGUAAACUGCUGUAAAUUAUGCACCUUUCAUCAACACCGGGGGGAGGGGGGAAUUUCAACGACCCUUUCUCUUCCAUUUAUUCUGAAAAUCGAACCACACUAGCGCCGGAUGAAUGCAACGUGCGUCGUCCGUUAGAGUGUGUGUUAGUGGUAUCAGUGGAUUCCCCCUCAGGAACUAUAAAUUCAUCCGCUUUACGAACAGCCGUCACACGAACAGCCGCGCACACCACCCAAGUUACCCAAGAAUCGAUGUGCCCAAGAGUUGCGAGCUUGGAAAAUGCAUCCAUUGCCAUUCCAGCUAGGAAAGAUGCGACGAGAGAGAGAGAGAGCAACGAGGAGGGGCAGGCAAUCCCUAUCGAAUUUCGAGUACACACACAGAGGAGUGCUAGUGUUCUGCUCGAGUUUGUGGUGGUGCAAGUUAAGCGAUGCCGAAUCAUCGUUUUUCGAUAAUAUGUCGGUAAUAUGUCGGCGAGAAAGGGGGGGGGAGUCCACAAAUUUCCCAAUCCUUUUCAAUUUACCAUCAACUAUUCCCGUUCCACGUGUGCGUGUGUGAGCCACCACGGUACAUCCAAUUUAUCAUAGAAAAAAGGAAACGGAUGCAGGAGACGAACCCCUGAAUAGCGCCGGGAAUCGAUGAAUUUGCGAUGCUUUUGUUUGCCAAAUUUUAAUUGCCCUUGCCUAAAAAGGAUGAGCGCCAGCCUUCUAUCAUCAUCAUCAUCAUGCUGUUUCGCUUCGGGUUCAAUUUCGAAUCGGGCGUGAGCUUACUAAAUUCGCGGGAAAACUCGGGAAAUUAAUGUCCAUAAACAAGCACUUCUUAUCCCCCCUCCUUCUGUUUGAUGAAAAUGAUUAAAACAUUUCCAAUAAUCGGUCAGAGUAUUGAAAACAAAAUUAAUUUGAAAUAUUUCGCUCCAAUCCCAACCGGAUUCAGUUGCGCCGACCACACACAAAAGCAGCGCGCGAACGCGCUCUCUGUGUCCUUUUGGAGGAGAUAUUCGGCCCGACGGCCACCACCAAAACGUGCCAACUGGACCGCGAACGAUUGAGAGAGAGAGAGAGGAAGAAAUGUCCUUUCCAUCAUCUAUUCCCUCCCCAGGGACAAAUCCGAGACAAAACGCGGAACCGGGAAAACUCGACGGUAAAAUCAGUGGACUAUUUUCCGGAAAUCAAUAUGUAAAUUACGACACACAACUGUGCGCUGUCGAUGGGUGCUGUUGUUUUUUUUGCCUACCGGAAGUGUCCCACGAUGGAGGAGGGGGAGAACGGCAGUGUGUCCAUCGAUAAUGAAGUGUCAAUAAAAUCGUAUUAUAAAUGUCUGAUCAAGUCACAAGUCGGUGGUUUGCCAUUCGAUGGGCCGAUGGGUGAUGGGUGGGAAAAUGCGAUUAAUAACCCCCCCACCGCCAUACAAUUUGUACAUUUUCACUUUCAUUUAAUCGGUUUCAUGGUCCAGCUUCAUCGGGUUGUGGAGACGGACGGUGAUGCAAAAUAAACAAAUUAAUAAAUUCCAAUUUGAUGGGAAUCAUCGGGGGGAGACUCACAAACAGUGUUGUUGAUGAGCGAAGUGGUCAUAAAAAUCGAAGUUGUGCGCCUUCUUCCCUUCUUUUGGUGGGUGAUUUUGGGUGGAUUGGACACAUUUUGGCACAACUUUGUUUAAUCCCGACGGGAGGGGGAAGAGUUGGGUUGUGUGUGCUGAAAAGAACUGUAAACGCUUAAAAGAAAAGAACUCGCCUUUUUGUUAUGACGACCCCUUAUUUUGCCAUUUUCAAUUCAGGGCAGACAAAUGCCACUCGCCCUCCCCUCCCCCAAAGCACGGUGAGGGUCUCUGGGUCUGGUCUCUGGUGCUGCGUUUUGCGCCGAUGAUGAAACACGACGUUGUUUGCUGCGGCCGUAAUUUAUGCAUUCGUAAACAGAUCGUAAAACCCUGCCUCUGCUCUCUCGCCGGUUCGGUUUGUGUGUUUUCUCCGGCAGCUUUGUGACGUUGCUGCAGACUCCUCCUUUGCCCGGUUUUUUUCGGGAACUUUCCGGGAAGGAGGUGUGUUUCGCGCAAUUUAAAUUCAACCACCAACCAAGGCGAGAGCAGAAGAGGAGGACUGCUCCAGGCACACACACACAAGAGAGAGUACCACAGAUUGUGGAUCACUGAACCUUCUAAUGAUAGGCCGUAUUAUAAAGCGCACCACCCGAUCCCUCACCACUUUCGGCAUAAUCCUCCGGGUCCUCCGGCCUCAAACCGUACAGAACACAUUUCGUGGAUAUGCAAAUAAUCUGCCCUCUCUCCUCUCCACAUCCCCCUGGAGGGGUUCGAAAUUGAAUUGGAUCCAUCCAUGCUUUCUUUUACUCCUUUUUCUGGAUGAAGCGGAGAGCAGAGUGCCGAAGAUGGCAAGAUUCAUUCCACACUGCCGUAAAGAUAGCUAGAACGUAAAGACAUAGCUCCAAAUUGGUUUCGGCUCUAUUAGGUGGGGCACUCCCGAGGGAGACGAUGUGCGGAUGUGUGUGUGUCUGUAUCCGUUGAUUACCGUAAUCAGUUGAAGAAAGUAAAUUAUGAAGCAAAGUGGCACUUCAGGUGACAUUCCAAAGCGGCAAAGAGGAAAAGAAGAGGAGGAGUAUUCCAAGGCACACUUUGGUAAUCAUUUUCCUUACAUUUCCUUCGGAGCGUACUUUCUGCUUGGACGCUUUAUUUUGCUUAUUCAGUGGAUGUCAAGUAAUGCAAGUGUGCCAUGCUUUGAAGGAAAUCCUGUGAUGUAAGAUUGAUUGAUUUUUCGCUUCGCUACCACCCAGACCAACAGUGUCUCUUUGUCUUUGUGGAAGUAAGUGGGUUAAAUUAAUUCUGUUUUGAGCUCAAAGGAUGAGAUAAAUAUUUUUCAAAUAAUUGACGAGCAAAAGCAAGUAAUAUUGAUGGCCCUGUAGCUUGAGAUGAAACACGAAGGUUAUCUGAAGUUCCCUUAACUCCUUGCAGAAGAUUGCGCUUUUAGGUUGCAUUAUCUUGUCAUACUUCCCAGAAAAUGGUUCUUGCCUACCAUCGCAUAAAGGUUUAUCUCUUCAUCUUCCCUCCGACUGGUGAUUGCAGUGAAAACAAGCAUCUUAAACCAAUCGGAACCUUUGGCCUAUCAAUCGAAAAGAAAUACUUUAAUCAAACCAAUUGCCUCAGAGAGAGAGAGAGUGAGAUGCUUUUAACAUCGGUUUCGUUUGAUCAAAAACCCCAUCGGCCGGUCGGCUGGAAAUGAAUUGCUGUGAAGAUUUGUAAACACAAUUGUGCACAAGAGCCGAGAAAACGGACCAGCCCCCACCAAGAGGGAAAACCAUUCAAUGGUGAAGGAGAAAACAACCAACCCAAGAAAAUAGACCUAAGAAGGAGGAAAGGUCUCUCAGACGACAACGACGACGACGGCGUUAUUGAGCU